rnacentral:lncRNA from 1 species
CGUGUGUAUAGUAGACUUCCAGCGGGCUGUGCCGGCUAGCGCACACACAUGGGCUCUGAAGGAUAGUGUGUGUGUGUGAGCCAUGUUGGAUGAACGGGAGCGGGGAUCGAACACUCGGACCUCCACGGAGCACAGCGGGUAGAUGCGAACUCUCCAGGCCGGUGGAGACACGGGGGAUCCUGGGGGACGCCUUAGCGGAGAGAAGGAGCAGAGAGAGGGGAGAGAAGAGGAGAGAAAGGAGGGGAGACUAAAUGGCUGCACUGCUACCGGGCUUCACCCCGAUCCUCCUGCUCCUGCUCCCAUCUCUGGUUCUCCUCCACCUCCACCUCUCCGGCCCUUUGUUCGCCCUUAGCCCGGGGACGGUGCACACCGGAGGGGCUGCUUCCCACACAUGGACCCGGGGCCUCUGCGACCAACAAGCCGGUAAAGUGAUCCUCCAGCAUCGGGCAGAGGCAGGGCUCAGCUGGGACAGAUGCCCGAGCAGGUGCACCUCAGAGCGGGUAGAAGCUGAGGGAUGCCCCGGAGGAGGAGGAGCGGAGACGGGGCGGAUGGAGGAGAGGAAGGGCGUUGUUCCAGCCCUGCUUUCACCUGAUCUCACCCCACUACCACCACCACUCCUCCACCACCACCACCACCUCCACACCAGGCCAGUACAAAGGAGGCGGCCACACCUCGUUCAACAACGCGCUGCCUCCGGAGCUCCUGUGCACGGCCUGGUGCACGCACCCGGAAGAGUUGGGGGGAGAUGUGAGGGUGAGGUGAUGGGGGGUUUAACCCCACAGUGUUCUCCAGGACCCUCUCCAGACAGCGCGCCCUCACCUGGCCCCUCCACCCUCCUCCCCCUCCCUCCUCCACAUCACCCCAUCAGCCCCAAUCUCAUUUUCACCGAUGAUUCAGCCCAAGUCAGGACAUUACAAUUGGAUUACAUUCGUCAUUUUUCAGCGUGUAAUCCUGCAGAUGAAAUCCUCCAUCCAUGUGUUUACAGCAGGGAGGAGCAGGUUGGUGGGCACAGGGGGGCUGCUGCUAAUUGUUCUCAUUUGGGCAUGCACAAUGUUAUCCAUUCCUGCAGAGUGGGUGGUGAUGAUAGCAAGCAGGCCAGUGGCAUUAUGAGAGGGGGGGAUACUGGGGCACCCGCUGUAAUUACGCACAUCGGCUCUGGGUUUCCAGCCUUUAGUGAUGCCAGAAUAUGGGGUGAGGAGAGGGGUGAGGUAGAGGAUGGCAGAGGGGAGGGAGGGCUAAACUGUGCUAACAACCACAUUAAUACACCUAAUUACUCAGAUCAAAAUGUGGCUUUUCUGAUUCUCACACAUCCACAGCGGAGAAAAGCUGACCUGGCAACCCAGGGUCAUGGCUGUCAAACCCAAGCAGGGCCCAGGGAGGGUCCUGGUGGGGGCUGCUUUGGUUUAGUGGGAGGUGGAUGUUUUUCUGAUUUUAAUAACUCAGAAAAAAGCAGAGCUCAGAUGAAUUCAUUGCAUUCUGACUUCACUGAAGCACAACGUGUUGAUGAUGAAAUCAUUUCAGGUUAUUACAGCUCAAUGCUUUACAAACAUGUUCUAACAGAGAGAGUAAACCCUCAGCUGACUGUUUCUGCUCAGAAAGUGAGAGCAUCUUCUAACACAGCCUGUGACUCAGGCGUUUUCCCGCCUGUUGAACUUCCUGUCACAGCGACUCGCUCUCAAACAUUGAGCGAGCCUCUCACGCAGCUUUUUCACCAUUCAGGGAAACACCUCAACUUCUCCUCUGACAAUAAUCAGACCACAUGGCAGCAUGACCAUAAGCUUUCUGCAGAGGUUGUGAUUUCAGAACACUGGACAGCUCGUGGUCAGCCUGUGUAUCUGUGGAGCACAUUUAACAAUAACAAUAACAACAAUAGAGAGACAAAAGAUGGAGAUCAUGGCAACCAGAGCAAAGCUGAUGAAUCACAGUGGUUUGAUCAGCCAGAGGUGGUGCGUGCUGUUAGCAGUGACAGUGUUUCCACGGAACAUGACGACCACACUCAUGUAGAAUUAAAAUCCAGGAAGCAAGUUCCGUUACGGCCUCAAGGUCUCACACAGCAGAUGGAGGCUGGGGGUGAAAGCGAGAGGGAGGAACCAGACCUAGAGGGGUCUGGUGAUGUUGCCGUUUGGGGAGGAAAAUUACAGGUGGG